GUUUUCCACCACCCAUCCUUGCUGCCAGCAUCGAAAAAUUAUUAUUUAUUUUUUAUAAUACAAGAUUACUUAACACUCCCUCCGCGGAGCUGAUCGAAAGUCGUCCGCACAAUAAAAAGCCCUUGGCAGGCACAAGUCGAAUUUACGUAUUAUAAACAUACAUGCAUAUAUAUAUAUUAUAUAUAUAUGUAUUUAUGCAUGUACAUACAUAUAUAUGCUCGUACAAUAUUUACAGCACAGGACAACAAGAAUAAAGAAUUGCACAUAUGCAUGUAUGUGUGUAUGUAAUUGGAUAUGUAUACAUGUAAGUAAAAACAUACUCAUUAAACGCAGUUUAUAUCAUUCAUACAAAUAAAAAAAAAUUUUAAAUUUUACAUUAUCAUUGUAUAAUCAUAUAAUAAUCAUCGAAACGCUUACAGUUUGUUUGCAUGAGCAUGGCAAACGCUUUAAAGAUUUCUGUAUACUCUUCGCUGAAAAGGAAAAAGGUGGGAUCGUCGCGAACAAAAAUUUCAAUUUUUGUGCGCAGCUGAGAGUGCCCAGUGGCGACGACCUGAAUGAGGUCUGUUGAAAUAAUGCAUUACAUACGACAAAAAAGUAAUGCAUUACCUAUGAACAUUUUUUUCAGCGCAUUUGUAAUGUACAAAAUAAAAAGUGCUACUCAUACGACAGAAUCGAGCUCUUGUCAACUUCGUUUCUGUAUGCCCCUUCCCCGCUAACCAACAAACGAUUUUCGUCUUUCGUUGCGUCGCGACGAAAUCGCCGAAUUUCGUUUUGGACUUUACCGUUUUUUGCAUGGAAUGCGUGCCUUCUUUCGUUUGGUUUCUUUGUCUAUGCCAAUUUCUUUUGUGUGUAUAGUGUUAAUGAGUGUAAAUACAAGUUCAAAAAUGCAUAUGUGUGAUGAUUUCUGUUUUCGUUUUACCCGCCGCGGCGCCUCACUUUUCUGCUAUUGUUGAGCCGUGCGGACGUAAAUUUAAAGGGAAGUAUCUGAUGCUAUAAAAACCGAAGGGUCCACUAAGAAGACCUAUAUAAGUACAAUAAGAAACUGCUUUCGGGUCCAGAAAGGUCGACUGGCAAAGCAGAUGUUCGAUAAUAAGGACAAACUAGAUAAUAAGACAUAGCUUUAGAUUUUGAUGUAGAUAGAUAUAAUAAAAUAGUAAUAAGACAUAGUUUAAGACUAUACAUUUAUUUAUAGAUAUUAAGAAAUAAUAAAUAAUAAUAUUUAAAAAUUAAAACAAAAAAUACUACAUUACUCAAGCGUUUCUAUCUUUCAAUUAGUAAUCAAUUAUUUCUCCAAUUACAUUGCAUUAAGAAGUAAGCCAUUUUAUAUAGUGGGAAAAUGGGUUGCAGGUAUAUUGUGUUGUAAUGUACGCACAUUACUAACCCAUAAGCGAUUUUGAAAAUGUAUAAGGCGUUUUCUUCAGGUUGCGGAAUUUCUACAUUACAAUAUUUAAAAAGUAUACGCAUGGUUAAUGGAGAGCCGAAGGAAACUUCGUCACCUCAUUACUUUCUGCAUUACAAAAUUCAAUAAUUUCAUGCACCCGGGAGAAAAAGCGGCCAUUCCUUAUAAAAGUAAGGCAGCUUGUAAUCGAUCUUUUCAUGCACACAGGCGACAAGUAAUCCAUGAGUAAUGGACAAAA